AUGCGCGUCCUANCAUGCAAGUCGAGCGAAUCGAUGGGAGCUUGCUCCCUGAAGAUUAGCGGCGGACGGGUGAGUAACACGUGGGCAACCUGCCUAUAAGACUGGGAUAACUUCGGGAAACCGGAGCUAAUACCGGAUACGUUCUUNAUCUCGCAUGAGAGAAGAUGGAAAGACGGUUUACGCUGUCACUUAUAGAUGGGCCCGCGGCGCAUUAGCUAGUUGGUGAGGUAAUGGCUCACCAAGGCGACGAUGCGUAGCCGACCUGAGAGGGUGAUCGGCCACACUGGGACUGAGACACGGCCCAGACUCCUACGGGAGGCAGCAGUAGGGAAUCUUCCGCAAUGGACGAAAGUCUGACGGAGCAACGCCGCGUGAACGAAGAAGGCCUUCGGGUCGUAAAGUUCUGUUGUUAGGGAAGAACAAGUACCAGAGUAACUGCUGGUACCUUGACGGUACCUAACCAGAAAGCCACGGCUAACUACGUGCCAGCAGCCGCGGUAAUACGUAGGUGGCAAGCGUUGUCCGGAAUUAUUGGGCGUAAAGCGCGCGCAGGUGGUUCCUUAAGUCUGAUGUGAAAGCCCACGGCUCAACCGUGGAGGGUCAUUGGAAACUGGGGAACUUGAGUGCAGAAGA
rnacentral:rRNA from 1 species